GUCAUUUCUCACUUGCAAAUAUCUUCUUUUUAUCAUAUUGUUGCUUAGUGCUUCUUAUCCUGAGUCUCACUCCACCAUUUCAUUUUAUAUGAACAAAACACAAGUGCUUUCUAAUCGGCCUCUUCCAUUUCUGCUUUAUAUUUAGUGAAUUUAAGUACCAGUCAGUUUCUAUCAACUUGUAAUAUCAAACCAAUAAAGUUUCUGAAAAUCAAUAUCAAUUUGUGUUAAAAUAUUCCCUAAUGUUGCCUGGUUACUCAUAAUCACUGCCUUAACUUUAACAUGCACUCUUAAUUUCAAAUCCUAGAUACGGCCAGUCUGCAAACCAGCAUCAACUUUCACCUAAUUUUAGGUUAUUGCAGACUAAUUAAUCUAAUACUUGACCCUAAAAAAUACUAUUGAUUUUUUGCAGAUAACAUGAUAGUGCAGUUGAGGGCUGCUGGGGACAACUUAUUUUCACUAGUCACUACUCUCCAGAAACCGUAAAAACCCUUUGUAUACUGAAUAACAUAAAAGACUAACUUGUCCUUACAGUAAAACUAGACCAAACAAAUCUUAUCUCGGCUAUGAUCAGAACUGGGAUAUUUUAUGGUGUAAACUAAAAACAAUCAAUAAUUAAACACCGACUCAAUCAGGAUUAGGACACCCUAGUGGUUAAGGCGUAUUUCUGGUGAUAACAUGAACAUUACUCGUCUGCUACUAGAUAGUAAUAACAUGAAAUCUGGUCCAAUCCUCGUCUCGCGCCCCAUAGUUAAAAAACUUAUUCAAAAAACACCUCAAGCUUAAUCAUUUCAUUUGAAAACAAAAGGUUGCUCAUGUGAAUACAAAUUACACCCAAAGUGGCUAGUUUAGGCCUUCCAAUCUUUCGGCAACUUUCUUUUCUUUUCCUUCUUCCUUUAGCUUUUGUUUUUAUAUUAUUAUGGUCUUUCCUCUGUUCAAAAAACACCACUUUCACAUAAUUUCUUUUUUUGCUUCAAUUAAAUAGAAAGUUGAAGAAUCUAGAGAAUACCAUUUACUUGUGCGGUAACUUAGCCAAUCACGGUGCUAACCAUCCUGUAGUUAGUUCGUCUCCUUUAAGCAUACUUAUUAGCCUGUGAUGAUAAUUAAUACUUAAGCUUGUCUUGGAGCAGCCUCCCUAUAUAAGUUAUAUAUAAUCUUAGAAAUUAUUCCUAGCUAUCUCUUUUACUGAAAAGCAAGCUGAGCUUUUACACACAUAAUUUCAAUGAGAAUGAGUAUACAAAUAGUAUUGGAGAAAAACAAACAAACCAGUGACUAACUUUUAGUUUUAGAAGCUUAAGGAAUGGAGUAGUUUAUGAAUUACUGAAGGAAUUGUGUAAAACAUUGUUUGCGAACUCAGUUGAGGUUACUGCCUCAAAAAUUCACAUAGAUUGAACAUAUUCGGGAAGAUGGACCAUCAUAUCAGUCAUUUAUCUGCAAUAUUUUUGUUAUAAUGGCUUACAUCAUAUGCACGAAAUUUCUAUCACACAGUGGCCAUACUAGAACUACAUGCACGGCUAGGAUUUAAAACGAUUAUUCAGACAGGAAGUGGAGGGCCGGUAUAAAUAUUGGCAUGACAGAUCCAUAUGCUUUCAUGUAGUGGUAAGUGGAAUAACAUAGACAAGAAGUGGAGGGCCAGAGAGAAAAAUAGUGGAGAAAAUUUAGAAAAAAAAAUGGUGCAAGAGGAAAUCAGAAAGGGUCCAUGGACAGAACAUGAGGAUGUUCAGCUGGUUUUCUAUGUAAAUUUGUUUGGUGAUCGUCGUUGGGAUUUCAUAGCAAAAGUUUCAGGUUUGAAGGUGGCGGGAGACAAGUAAUAGGUUUGAAAAGAACAGGUAAGAGUUGCAGGUUAAGGUGGGUUAAUUAUCUUCAUCCUGGUCUCAAACGAGGAAAGAUGACACCCCACGAAGAACGCUUGGUUGUGGAGCUUCACUCCAAAUGGGGGAAUAGGUCCGGAUGAUAUGCAUAUGAUGGACCAGAUCAUAUCUCUUGUUUAUUAGUACUAGUUUUUUUUUUUUUUUUUUGUGAUUGAUAUUAAAUUUCUCCUGUUUUGUAUUAAAGUCAUUAACUUUUACUGCAGAUGGUCAAGAAUUGCUCGUAAAUUACCUGGAAGAACAGACAAUGAGAUAAAGAAUUAUUGGAGAACCUACAUGAGGAAGGAGUCUCAAGAGAAGAAAAGGUCCAUGUCUCCCUCCCCAUCACACUCUAAUUGUUCUUCGUCGA